CAAUGGGCAUUAAGGGUUUAACGAAGCUGUUGGCGGAUAAUGCCCCGAAAGCUAUGAAAGAGCAGAAAUUUGAGAGCUACUUUGGCCGCAAGAUUGCCAUUGAUGCCAGCAUGAGCAUCUACCAGUUCCUUAUUGUAGUGGGAAGAAUUGGAACUGAAAUGCUUACUAAUGAGGCUGGCGAAGUCACUAGCCAUUUGCAAGGCAUGUUUACUCGGACAAUCAGGCUUCUUGAGGCUGGAAUAAAGCCUGUUUAUGUGUUUGAUGGGCAGCCUCC
rnacentral:misc_RNA from 1 species